AUGGACAUCGUAGAGAUUCUGAAAAUUAAACCCUCUCGCCGGCUGGGAGUAGACACAAUCGCGUGGCACCCGUACAAGCAUGGUCAUUUCUCUGUUAGGUCAGCGUACAAUAUGGCUCGAGAUGAGACCAUGGCUCAGCAAGGUAUUGGGGAAUCAAGUAGCAGACCUGAUGGAUCAACACCGGCUUGGAAGCUGCUGUGGAGUUGUGGAGCCCCGCCUAAAGUAUGUGUUUUUGCUUGGAAAGCAUCUCGGGAGGCGCUUGCUACCCAGGUAAACAUGCAACGACGACACAUGGAGUCGGAUGGAAUGUGCACGAUCCGCGGACAAGAGGAUGAAACAGUCCAUCAUGCACUCAUUCGCUGCACCUAUGCUCGAAACCUAUGGACUGGAAUGAGAAGUGUUUGGCAUCUUCCACCUGAUGAUGUACUCAGAAACGCUGAACCGGACUGGUUGUUGAUGCUCCUCCAACAAAUCAGUGAAACACAACGCUUAUUAGUCCUGAUGAUGUUGUGGCGCGUGUGGCAUGUGCACAAUGAAUUAGCCCAUGACAAGCCAAUGAUCCCGGUUGAAGCAUCUAAACGAUUCUUGUGUGAGUAUGCAGAGUCUCUGUUCAUGAUCAAAUACUAUCCCAAUGCAGAUGUUACUAAAGGAAAAUUCCCCGCUGACCUCAGUGCAUAUGCUACUAUGAGCGCUGCUACUCCAGAACGACAUGUUUUUUUUUUGAAACAAGCCCAGAACGGCAUGUUGCUGCUGUUAACUGGGAUCCCUCGCCAGUAG
rnacentral:rRNA from 1 species